rnacentral:rRNA from 1 species
UACGAAGGGGGGCUAGCGUUGUUCGGAAUUACUGGGCGUAAAGCGCGCGCAGGCGGUCUUCCAAGUCAGUGGUGAAAGCCCGGAGCUCAACUCCGGAACUGCCAUUGAAACUGUUGGACUUGAGUAUGAGAGAGGUGAGUGGAAUUCCCAGUGUAGAGGUGAAAUUCGUAGAUAUUGGGAAGAACACCGGUGGCGAAGGCGGCUCACUGGCUCAUUACUGACGCUCAGGCGCGACAGCGUGGGGAUCAAACAGG